AUUGAACGCUGGCGGCAGGCCUAACACAUGCAAGUCGAGCGGAUGAGGGGUGCUUGCACCCUGAUUCAGCGGCGGACGGGUGAGUAAUGCCUAGGAAUCUGCCCGAUAGUGGGGGACAACGUUUCGAAAGGAACGCUAAUACCGCAUACGUCCUACGGGAGAAAGUGGGGGCUCUUCGGACCUCACGCUAUCGGAUGAGCCUAGGUCGGAUUGGGUAGUUGGAGGGGUAAAGGCUAACCAAGGCGACGAUCCGUAACUGGUCUGAGAGGAUGAUCAGUCACACUGGAACUGAGACACGGUCCAGACUCCUACGGGAGGAAGCAGUGGGGAAUAUUGGACAAUGGGCGAAAGCCUGAUCCAGCCAUGCCGCGUGUGUGAAGAAGGUCUUCGGAUUGUAAAGCACUUUAAGUCGGGAGGAAGGGCUGCAGGUUAAUACCUUGCAGCCUUGACGUUACCGACAGAAUAAGCACCGGCUAACUUCGUGCCAGCAGCCGCCGUAACAC
rnacentral:rRNA from 1 species